CCUACGGGAGGCAGCAGUGGGAAUAUUGCACAAUGGGCGCAAGCCUGAUGCAGCCAUGCCGCGUGUAUGAAGAAGGCCUUCGGGUUGUAAAGUACUUUCAGCGGGGAGGAAGGCGGUGAGGUUAAUAACCUCACUGAUUGACGUUACCCGCAGAAGAAGCACCGGCUAACUCUGUGCCAGCAGCCGCGGUAAU
rnacentral:rRNA from 1 species